GGCCUCCUGCAACUUCAACUCUUCGCUCAGAAGAUCCAUGAAUUGCUUCUCCAUCUCUUGCUUCAUAUCAGGGUCGUUGCUUCCACAAUCUGUCUCACCAUUAAUCAUAACAUUGCAUACAUAAUUAUGUUGAUAGAGGCAUAAAAUGACGAU